AUGGUGCACCACCACCGGGCGACCCUCCUGCCGCACCACCACCACGACGAGGAGAAGCAGCAGGCGGAGGAGGAGGGGGACGGCAAGACGAUGAAGGAGCUCCGGGGCCGGCUGGCGGACUACGCGUGCCACCACCGGAAGCACGGCCACGACGCGCUCCUCCUCAUGCUCGCCGGCUUCGCCUUCGUCUCCUUGCUCCUGCUGCUCCUCCCCAACAGCCCCUUCUCCGCCGCCAUGGACGACCUCCUGCAGCUGGGCCGCACCCCGCGCCGGUGCGACCAGGAGAUGGCGCCCACGCCGCCAGCGCCCUGCGCGGGGGUGCCCAACGGCACCAUCUGCUGCGACCGCAGCUCCCCACGUGCCGACCUCUGCGUCAUGCGCGGGGACGUCCGCACCCACGCCGCCUCCAACACCCUCUUCCUGCUCGCCGCCGCCGCCCCGGCCGACGAGCGCAUCCGCCCCUACACCCGCAAGUGGGAGUCCAGCGUCAUGAGCACCAUCGACGAGCUGCGCCUCCGAGCCCUGCCCGACCCCGAGGGCGCUGCACGCUGCGACGUCCGGCACGACGUCCCCGCCGUCGUCUUCUCCACCGGCGGCUACACCGGCAACGUGUACCACGAGUUCAACGACGGCAUCAUCCCGCUCUACAUCACCGCCCGGCGGUACAACAGGAAGGUGGUGUUCGUGAUGCUCGAGUACCACGACUGGUGGAUGACCAAGUACGGCCACAUCGUCGAGCAGCUCUCCGACUUCCCGCCCGUCGACUUCUCCAACGACACCCGCACGCACUGCUUCCCGGAGGCCGUCGUCGGCCUGCGCAUCCACGACGAGCUCGCCAUCGACGCGUCACGGAUGCCGGGAAACCAGGGCAUCCGGGACUUCCGGCACAUGCUCGACGACGCGCACCGCGGCCGCAUCAACGCCAUCAUCGAGGAGGAGAACGCCGCGCCACAAGCGGCGCCGGCGGCGGCGGCACUAGCAAAGAAACACGUCACGGAGGCGCUCGCGGACGACGACAAGCCGCGGCUGGUGAUCGUGUCGCGCAACGGGUCGCGCGCGAUCGAGAACGAGCCGGAGCUGGCGCGCGCGGCGGGGAGGGCCGGGUUCCGGGUGACGGUGCUCCGGCCGCGCCCGGACACGGAGCUCGCGCAGAUGUACCGCGUCCUGAACGGCUCGGACGUGAUGGUGGGCGUGCACGGUGCCGCCAUGACGCACUUCCUCUUCAUGCGCCCGGGGUCGGUCUUCAUCCAGGUGGUGCCGCUGGGAACCGACUGGGCCGCCGAGAACUACUACGGCGAGCCGGCGCGGCGGCUCGGCCUGCGCUACGUCCCCUACAAGAUCCUGCCGUCGGAGAGCUCGCUGUUCCGGCGCUACGCCAGGGACGACCCCGUGCUCACCGACCCCGUCGCCGUUAACGCCAAGGGAUGGCAGGUCACCAAGAAGGUGUACCUCGACGGGCAGAACGUGCGGCUGGACAUGGCGCGGUUCCGGCGACGGCUGCGCGAGGCAUACGGCCACUGGGCGGCGCAGCGGCGGCGCCAGCAGAGCCAACCGUUGUAG
rnacentral:rRNA from 1 species